rnacentral:rRNA from 1 species
ACGCUGGCGGCAGGCCUAACACAUGCAAGUCGAGCGGCAGCACAGAGGAACUUGUUCCUUGGGUGGCGAGCGGCGGACGGGUGAGUAAUGCCUAGGAAAUUGCCUUGAUGUGGGGGAUAACCAUUGGAAACGAUGGCUAAUACCGCAUGAUGCCUACGGGCCAAAGAGGGGGACCUUCGGGCCUCUCGCGUCAGGAUAUGCCUAGGUGGGAUUAGCUAGUUGGUGAGGUAAUGGCUCACCAAGGCGACGAUCCCUAGCUGGUCUGAGAGGAUGAUCAGCCACACUGGAACUGAGACACGGUCCAGACUCCUACGGGAGGCAGCAGUGGGGAAUAUUGCACAAUGGGCGCAAGCCUGAUGCAGCCAUGCCGCGUGUAUGAAGAAGGCCUUCGGGUUGUAAAGUACUUUCAGUCGUGAGGAAGGUGGUGUUGUUAAUAGCAGCAUCAUUUGACGUUAGCGACAGAAGAAGCACCGGCUAACUCCGUGCCAGCAGCCGCGGUAAUACGGAGGGUGCGAGCGUUAAUCGGAAUUACUGGGCGUAAAGCGCAUGCAGGUGGUGGAUUAAGUCAGAUGUGAAAGCCCGGGGCUCAACCUCGGAACCGCAUUUGAAACUGGUUCACUAGAGUACUGUAGAGGGGGGUAGAAUUUCAGGUGUAGCGGUGAAAUGCGUAGAGAUCUGAAGGAAUACCGGUGGCGAAGGCGGCCCCCUGGACA